rnacentral:rRNA from 1 species
GACAGAGGUGGCGAGCGUUGUUCGGAUUUAUUGGGCGUUAAAGCGAACGCAGGUGGUUUGGUAAGUCAGGAGGUAGAAACGACCACAGCUUAACUGUGGCACUGUCCUUUGAUACUGUCCUUUCUUGAGUGCAUGGAGGGGGAAGCGGAAUUCCGAGUGUAGAGGUGAAAUUCGUAGAUAUUCGGAGGAACACCGGUGGCGAAGGCGGCUUCCUGGCAUGUAACUGACACUCAUGUUCGAAAGCGUGGGUAGCAAACAGGAUUAGAUACCCUAGUAGU